rnacentral:rRNA from 1 species
UCCGUAGGUGAACCUGCGGAAGGAUCAUUAAUUAUGUUAAAGCGCCUUACCUCUUAGGGUUUCCUCUGGGGUAAGUGAUUGCUUCUACACUGUGAAAAUUUGGCUGAGAGACUCAGACUGGUCAUGGGUAGACCUAUCUGGGGUUUGAUCGAUGCCACUCCUGGUUUCAGGAGCACCCUUCAUAAUAAACCUAGAAAUUCAGUAUUAUAAAGUUUAAUAAAAAACAACUUUUAACAAUGGAUCUCUUGGUUCUCGCAUCGAUGAAGAACGUAGCAAAGUGCGAUAACUAGUGUGAAUUGCAUAUUCAGUGAAUCAUCGAGUCUUUGAACGCAGCUUGCACUCUAUGGUUUUUCUAUAGAGUACGCCUGCUUCAGUAUCAUCACAAACCCACACAUAACAUUUGUUUAUGUGGUAAUGGGUCGCAUCGCUGUUUUAUUACAGUGAGCACCUAAAAUGUGUGUGAUUUUCUGUCUGGCUUGCUAGGCAGGAAUAUUACGCUGGUCUCAGGAUCUUUUUCUUUGGUUCGCCCAGGAAGUAAAGUACAAGAGUAUAAUCCAGCAACUUUCAAACUAUGAUCUGAAGUCAGGUGGGAUUACCCGCUGAACUUAAGCAUAUCAAUAAGCGGAGGAAAAGA